rnacentral:rRNA from 1 species
CACGUAGGGUGCGAGCGUUGUCCGGAAUUAUUGGGCGUAAAGAGCUCGUAGGCGGUGUGUCGCGUCGGCCGUGAAAACCUGUGGCUUAACUAUGGGCUUGCGGUCGAUACGGGCAUCACUGGAGUUCGGCAGGGGAGACUGGAAUUCCUGGUGUAGCGGUGAAAUGCGCAGAUAUCAGGAGGAACACCGGUGGCGAAGGCGGGUCUCUGGGCCGAAAUUGACGCUGAGGAGCGAAAGCGUGGGGAGCAAACAGG